GCAGUGCAAGGAUUUGCAUCCAGAUUUGACACUAACACGUGGGCCUCGCUACUGCUCUGUAGUACCCACUUAAACGGAAGUGUCCUUCUCGAUUAUUUAGUUCAUGUGUUACACUCGUUGGUGUUGGUAGCAGAUGGUUGGUAUUGUAGUUCAGCUUUCUGGAGAAAGCUUGUCAGGCUUCAAGAGAAUGUUUAGCAUCUGUGAUGGUCCAUGAGGGAGGUUCCCCUCUCCACCCCUUCACCACUUUACAUGGAGCAUUUACAGUGUGUGAGUUUCCAUGCUAAGGAUGAUACUUUCAUGAUGACAGUGUCUGAAGGGCAGGUGGGCAGAGGCCAGCAACAUGGAACUGAGGGGUCAGUGAUGCAGGAAUCCAGUGACAU
rnacentral:lncRNA from 10 species